CCUACGGGCGGCUGCAGUGGGGAAUAUUGGACAAUGGGCGAAAGCCUGAUCCAGCCAUGCCGCGUGUGUGAAGAAGGCCUUCGGGUUGUAAAGCACUUUCAGUGGGGAAGAAAGCCUUGGGGCUAAUACCCUCGAGGAAGGACAUCACCCACAGAAGAAGCACCGGCUAACUCCGUGCCAGCAGCCGCGGUAAUACGGAGGGUGCGAGCGUUAAUCGGAAUUACUGGGCGUAAAGCGCGCGUAGGCGGUCUGAUAAGCCGGUUGUGAAAGCCCCGGGCUCAACCUGGGAACGGCAUCCGGAACUGUCAGGCUAGAGUGCAGGAGAGGAAGGUAGAAUUCCCGGUGUAGCGGUGAAAUGCGUAGAGAUCGGGAGGAAUACCAGUGGCGAAGGUGGCCUUCUGGACUGACACUGACGCUGAGGUGCGAAAGCGUGGGUAGCAAACAGGAUUAGAUACCCCGGUAGUC
rnacentral:rRNA from 1 species